UUUCGCAAUGCCCGAAAGGGUGACGAAGCGACGCCGCGUGUGGGAAGAAGGCCUUCGGGUUGUAAACCACUGUCGGGAGUUAAGAAAUGUAAGGAUGCUAAUAGUAUUCUUACUUGACUAAGGCUCCGGAGGAAGCCACGGCUAACUCUGUGCCAGCAGCCGCGGUAAUACAGAGGCGGCAAGCGUUGUUCGGAAUUAUUGGGCGUAAAGAGCACGUAGGCGGCUGUGUAAGUCGGUUGUGAAAGCCUUCCGCUUAACGGAAGAACAGCGACCGAUACUGCAUAGCUAGAGUGCGGGAGGGGAGAGUGGAACUUCUGGUGGAGCGGUGAAAUGCGUAGAUAUCAGAAGGAACAUCGGCGGCGAAAGCGACUCUCUGGCCCGUAACUGACGCUGAGGUGCGAAAGCUAGGGGAGCAAACGGGAUUAGAUACCCCGGUAGUCCUAGCCGUAAACGAUGGGCACUAAGUAGAGGGGUUUU
rnacentral:rRNA from 1 species